GAUGAACGCUGGCGGCGUGCCUAAUACAUGCAAGUCGAGCGAACAGAUGAGGAGCUUGCUCCUCUGACGUUAGCGGCGGACGGGUGAGUAACACGUGGAUAACCUACCUAUAAGACUGGGAUAACUUCGGGAAACCGGAGCUAAUACCGGAUAAUAUAUUGAACCGCAUUGUUCAAUAGUGAAAGGCGGUUUUGCUGUCACUUAUAGAUGGAUCCGCGCCGCAUUAUCUAGUUGGUAAGGUAACGGCUUACCAAGGCAACGAUGCGUAGCCGACCUGAGAGGGUGUUAGGCCACACGGGAACUGAGACACGGUCCAGACUCCUAAGGGAGGCAGCAGUAGGGAAUCUUCCGCAAUGGGCGAAAGCAUGACGGAGCAACGCCGCGUGAGUGAUGAAGGUCUUCGGAUCGUAAAACUCUGUUAUUAGGGAAGAACAAAUGUGUAAGUAACUAUGCACGUCUUGACGGUACCUAAUCAGAAAGCCACGGCUAACUACGUG
rnacentral:rRNA from 1 species